UACAGAGGGUGCAAGCGUUGUUCGGAAUUAUUGGGCGUAAAGGGCGCGUAGGCGGUGCCACAAGUCACUUGUGAAAUCUCCGGGCUUAACUCGGAGCCUGCAGGCGAAACUGUGGUGCUGGAGUGUGGGAGAGGUGCGUGGAAUUCCCGGUGUAGCGGUGAAAUGCGCAGAUAUCGGGAAGAACACCUAUGGCGAAGGCAGCUCUCUGGGACGGUACUGACGCUGAGACGCGAAAGCGUGGGGAGCGAACAGG
rnacentral:rRNA from 1 species